rnacentral:rRNA from 1 species
AGACCCGAAACCCGGUGAUCUAGCCAUGGGCAGGUUGAAGGUUGGGUAACACUAACUGGAGGACCGAACCGACUAAUGUUGAAAAAUUAGCGGAUGACCUGUGGCUGGGGGUGAAAGGCCAAUCAAACCGGGAGAUAGCUGGUUCUCCCCGAAAGCUAUUUAGGUAGCGCCUCGUGAAUUCAUCUCCGGGGGUAGAGCACUGUUUCGGCUAGGGGGCCAUCCCGGCUUACCAACCCGAUGCAAACUGCGAAUACCGGAGAAUGUUAUCACGGGAGACACACGGCGGGUGCUAACGUCCGUCGUGAAGAGGGAAACAACCCAGACCGCCAGCUAAGGUCCCAAAGUCAUGGUUAAGUGGGAAACGAUGUGGGAAGGCCCAGACAGCCAGGAUGUUGGCUUAGAAGCAGCCAUCAUUUAAAGAAAGCGUAAUAGCUCACUGGUCGAGUCGGCCUGCGCGGAAGAUGUAACGGGGCUAAACCAUGCACCGAAGCUGCGGCAGCGACGCUGAUGCGUUGUUGGGUAGGGGAGCGUUCUGUAAGCCUGUGAAGGUGUGUCGUGAGGCAUGCUGGAGGUAUCAGAAGUGCGAAUGCUGACAUAAGUAACGAUAAAGCGGGUGAAAAGCCCGCUCGCCGGAAGACCAAGGGUUCCUGUCCAACGUUAAUCGGGGCAGGGUGAGUCGACCCCUAAGGCGAGGCCGAAAGGCGUAGUCGAUGGGAAACGGGUUAAUAUUCCCGUACUUGGUGUUACUGCGAAGGGGGGACGGAGAAGGCUAUGUUGGCCGGGCGACGGUUGUCCCGGUUUAAGCGUGUAGGUGUGUGUUCCAGGUAAAUCCGGUUCACUUUAACACUGAGGCGUGACGACGAGGCACUACGGUGCUGAAGCAACAAAUGCCCUGCUUCCAGGAAAAGCCUCUAAGCAUCAGGUAACAUCAAAUCGUACCCCAAACCGACACAGGUGGUCAGGUAGAGAAUACCAAGGCGCUUGAGAGAACUCGGGUGAAGGAACUAGGCAAAAUGGUGCCGUAACUUCGGGAGAAGGCACGCUGACACGUAGGUGAAGUGAUUUACUCACGGAGCUGAAGUCAGUCGAAGAUACCAGCUGGCUGCAACUGUUUAUUAAAAACACAGCACUGUGCAAACACGAAAGUGGACGUAUACGGUGUGACGCCUGCCCGGUGCCGGAAGGUUAAUUGAUGGGGUCAGCGCAAGCGAAGCUCCUGAUCGAAGCCCCGGUAAACGGCGGCCGUAACUAUAACGGUCCUAAGGUAGCGAAAUUCCUUGUCGGGUAAGUUCCGACCUGCACGAAUGGCGUAAUGAUGGCCAGGCUGUCUCCACCCGAGACUCAGUGAAAUUGAACUCGCUGUGAAGAUGCAGUGUACCCGCGGCAAGACGGAAAGACCCCGUGAACCUUUACUAUAGCUUGACACUGAACAUUGAGCCUUGAUGUGUAG